rnacentral:piRNA from 1 species
UAAGAUGUCCUGGUUAUCUUUGGUUU